CAAAUUCCCAGGCUGGACUGCUGUGUUUGUGCACAGCGUGGCAAUGUCUCAGGAAAAUGGCUGGAAGAGCAAGGAAGGAUCACAAGGAAAGCGUUCUGCAGGAGUCUGAGAGAAAGCCACUGGGUUCUUGUUGGGAAACAGUAAGACACAUGUAAAUCAGAUUAUUUCUCAAGAAGGAAUAGGAAAUGGACUGGCAGUGUGCAAGAAGGUGCAUUACCUAUCGUUAAUGGAGAGAAAGUAUGGGAAGCUGGGAGCACCAACACUAGAGAACAAACAGAGUGCAAAUAAACACUGUUUUGAGACCAGCAACUCCAGCUUUGUUGGCUUUUCUUCAAUGUUCUGGCCCUUCUUUUCUCAGCUGUCUUCUUCUAGUCCUACACAGGUAGAGAGAGGCAAGGAAAAGGACAAUGCAGAGAGUGAUACAGGAGCU
rnacentral:lncRNA from 1 species